rnacentral:misc_RNA from 1 species
GUAGAAUUUUGGGGACAUUGUGACUAGUACCAAUGGUUUUCUGGUGUGUCUUGUAGAUAAGUAAGCUGAAAUGGGAGGUUGCUGCUGCUGUUCUUCAAAAAGAACAGAAUCAAAUAUUGCACCAGGCUACUAUUAUUACCCAAGAGCAUCGGAGGAGCAUGUUCCCUUGUCAUCUCCACUUAGUACUCCCCCAGCAUUUUCAACCGGGCUUUUAGUUGACACGAAUCUUGAUACAUCAAUCCCAGACACUUAUAGAUCACCUCCUUUGCCUAUGCCAUAUGAUGUUGUUUUAACAAAUCCACAUAUUUCAUCCGUGGCUCAAGAAAUUGGC